rnacentral:miRNA from 1 species
AGGAACUAAAGAAGCAUUGGAGA